AGUGGACUAAAGCCGAUUACCAUGCUGAUGCAUAAAAACUACACCACCACGUUAUGUGACCAUAGAAAAAAACACGCGACGUGGAUAUGUGGUAUCCGUACAAAUAAGCACGAAGGAGCAAGUCGUUCUCGAUGAAUUAGAGGUGUUGACAAUAAUUAUUGUUCACCAACAGAAGGAAACGAUAAAAACGCUUCAGUAUCAGAGUAAAAGAUAACGCCAUCAACGAUGCGCUCAUUUAAAGGGUUGCACACCUUGAAGAUAAAUUGUUGAUCAACAUGUCCACUAAAAAACCUGAAGACAAUUGCAGCUCUAGAGUGAUUUUAAAGACGUUUGAUAGGUCAUGAUAACGAUUUGGCAUCUACGAGUACAGCUUUAUCUGUCUAAACACAUGUUGUACCGGUUAGGUUGGUUAUCAUAUAUAUCGACCAAUCGAGCAUCACCUCUGCAGCAGGUUAGAUUAGUAGACUUACAUCCGGAAACAGCAACUUUUACGAAGUAUUGGUUUUAAAUCAAUGUAGAUUUCAUUACAAUAACAGAACUUUCUGCCAGGCUGCUCUUGUCAAAGUUUAAAAGAACGUUUCAAACAGCAAAUCUCGCCUAAAUUAACUAUGUCAAUUUAUCAAACAUAGAAAUGUGUACUACAGUUAUUAUCCACACCACAUCAUUACGGGAAAUUAAAAAUUGUGGAUUUCUAAUGUUAUUGAGAUGAGCAAAGUCUUUUGUUUACCAACAUAGCGUUGUCGAACUAUGGUUACAUCAAGCUGAGGUUUAUGUGAUUGCUGAAUGAAGUAUCAACAGUAAAAUGUAUGCAGAACAAAACAUUUAUUUUCUUCGAAUACCACAUACAUCUAUUUUUAGUAUACUAAUUUAGCCAUAUUUGUUAAUGUCAAUUAAAUUUCUUAUUCGGUGUGAUAUUUUAGAUACAAAUUAUUAUGUACCAUGCGUAGUACGUGUUAGUAAAAUUAUUUAUUGUAUUAAAUAUAAAUUGAAUAAAUUUAUUUGCAUAAGUUAUACUUAUAAUUUGUAGCUAAAAUAAAUUCGUUCAGAUAAACAAUAUUAUACAUCUAAAACACAAUAACAAUGUUUUAAUUGAAAUAAUUCACAGUAAUUUUUUUAAA